CUACGGGGGGCAGCAGGCGCGAAACCUUUACAAUGUACGUAAGUGCGAUAAGGGAACUCCCAGUGCUCAUGUAAUGCAUGGGCUUUUGUUAAGUGUAAAUAGCUUGGCGAAUAAGUGGUGGGUAAGACGGGUGCCAGCCGCACGCGGUAACACCUGCGCCACGAGUGGCAUUCACGUUUACUGGGCCUAAAGCGUUCGUAGCCGGAUAGAUAAGUCUUAAGUGAAAUCGUUGCGCUUAACAAAACGACGUGCUUGAGAUACUGUUUAUCUAGGGACCGGGAGGUGUUAGGGGUAUUCCAGAGGGAGCGGUAAAAUGCUGUAAUCUCUGGAGGACCACCUGUGGCGAAGGCGCCUAACUAGAACGGGUCCGACGGUGAGGAACGAAAGCCAGGGGGCAAAACGGAUUAGAUACCCCCGUAGUC
rnacentral:rRNA from 1 species